rnacentral:rRNA from 1 species
UACGAAGGGGGCUAGCGUUGCUCGGAGUCACUGGGCGUAAAGGGUGCGUAGGCGGGGCUUUAAGUCAGGGGUGAAAUCCUGGAGCUCAACUCCAGAACUGCCUUUGAUACUGAAGAUCUUGAGUUCGGGAGAGGUGAGUGGAACUGCGAGUGUAGAGGUGAAAUUCGUAGAUAUUCGCAAGAACACCAGUGGCGAAGGCGGCUCACUGGCCCGAUACUGACGCUGAGGCACGAAGGCCAGGGGAGCAAACGGG